UAGGGAAUCUUCGGCAAUGGACGAAAGUCUGACCGAGCAACGCCGCGUGAGUGAAGAAGGUUUUCGGAUCGUAAAACUCUGUUGUUAGAGAAGAACAAGGACGUUAGUAACUGAACGUCCCCUGACGGUAUCUAACCAGAAAGCCACGGCUAACUACGUGCCAGCAGCCGCGGUAAUACGUAGGUGGCAAGCGUUGUCCGGAUUUAUUGGGCGUAAAGCGAGCGCAGGCGGUUUCUUAAGUCUGAUGUGAAAGCCCCCGGCUCAACCGGGGAGGGUAAUUGGAAACUGGGAGACUUGAGUGCAGAAGAGGAGAGUGGAAUUCCAUGUGUAGCGGGGAAAUGCGUAGAUAUAUGGAGGAACACCAGUGGCGAAGGCGGCUGUCUGGUCUGUAACUGACGCUGAGGCUCGAAAGCGUGGGGAGCAAACAGG
rnacentral:rRNA from 1 species